AAAUAGAUACCCUGGUAGUCCACCCCGUAAACGUUGGGACUAGUUGUGGGUCCUUUCCACGGAUUCCGUGACGCAGCUAACGCAUUAAGUUCCCCGCCUGGGGAGUACGGCCGCAAGGCUAAAACUCAAAGGAAUUGACGGGGACCCGCACAAGCGGCGGAGCAUGCGGAUUAAUUCGAUGCAACGCGAAGAACCUUACCAAGGCUUGACAUACACCAGAACACCCUAGAAAUAGGGGACUCUUUGGACACUGGUGAACAGGUGGUGCAUGGUUGUCGUCAGCUCGUGUCGUGAGAUGUUGGGUUAAGUCCCGCAACGAGCGCAACCCUCGUUCUAUGUUGCCAGCACGUAAUGGUGGGAACUCAUGGGAUACUGCCGGGGUCAACUCGGAGGAAGGUGGGGAUGACGUCAAAUCAUCAUGCCCCUUAUGUCUUGGGCUUCACGCAUGCUACAAUGGCCGGUACAAAGGGCUGCAAUACCGUGAGGUGGAGCGAAUCCCAAAAAGCCGGUCCCAGUUCGGAUUGAGGUCUGCAACUCGACCUCA
rnacentral:rRNA from 1 species